GGCAAGAUGGCCGAGCGGUCUAAGGCGCCAGACUCAAGCUUUCUAGUUUCUGAACCAAAAUUUCAGCGCAUUCUGGUCUCGCAAGAGGCGUGGGUUCAAAUCCCACUCUUGUCA